rnacentral:lncRNA from 1 species
CUGAGGGAUCCGAGUAGACUGGAGUCGAGAGAGACCAUCCACCUCCGACCCUUAAGCCAGAGACUCAGCCACCAGAGAAACGGCGGAGAACAAUUGAGGAUUUCAACAAAUUCUGCAGUUUUGUUUUGGCAUAUGCUGGUUACAUUCCCCCUAGCAAAGAGGAAAGUGACUGGCCAGCCUCUGGCUCCAGCUCUCCAUUGCGAGGAGAGAGUGCGGCCGACAGUGAUGGCUGGGACUCGGCCCCCUCAGAUCUUCGAACCAUCCAGACUUUUGUUAAGAAAGCAAAGUCAUCCAAGAGAAGGGCAGCUCAAG